AUUGAACGCUGGCGGCAGGCCUAACACAUGCAAGUCGAGCGGAGCGGCGGACGGGUGAGUAAUGUAUGGGGAUCUGCCCGAUAGAGGGGGAUAACUACGCGAAAGCGUAGCUAAUACCGCAUACUAUUGGAGCGGCCGAUAUCGGAUUAGCUAGUUGGUGGGGUAACGGCUCACCCAGGCGACGAUCCGUAGCUGGUUUGAGAGGACGACCAGCCACACUGGGACUGAGACCCGGCCCAGACUCCUACGGGAGGCAGCAGUGGGGAAUUUUGGACAAUGGGGGAAACCCUGAUCCAGCCAUCCCGCGUGUGCGAUGAAGGCCUUCGGGUUGUAAAGCACUUUUGGCAGGAAAGCGGUACCUGCAGAAUAAGCACCGGCUAACUCCGUGCCAGCAGCCGCGGUAAUUC
rnacentral:rRNA from 1 species